rnacentral:rRNA from 1 species
UGGGGGAUAUUGCACAAUGGGCGAAAGCCUGAUGCAGCGACGCCGCGUGGGGGAUGUAGGCCUUCGGGUUGUAAACUUCUUUUGCUCUGAACAAGGCAUGCCUUUGGGGUGUGUUGAGUGUAGGGGUUGAUUAGCGCCGGCUAACUACGUGCCAGCAGCCGCGGUAAUACGUAGGGCGCGAGCGUUGUCCGGAAUUAUUGGGCGUAAAGGGCUUGUAGGUGGCUGGUUGCGUCUGUCGUGAAAGCUCAUGGCUUAACUGUGGGUUUGCGGUGGGUACGGGCUGGCUUGAGUGCAGUAGGGGAGGCUGGAAUUCCUGGUGUAGCGGUGGAAUGCGCAGAUAUCAGGAGGAAUACCGGUGGCGAAGGCGGGUCUCUGGGCUGUUACUGACGCUGAGGAGCGAAAGCGUGGGGAGCGAACAGG